rnacentral:rRNA from 1 species
GUGCCAGCAGCCGCGGUAAUACGUAGGCAGCAAGCGUUGUUCGGAGUUACUGGGCGUAAAGAGUGCGUAGGCGGUUCCGUAAGUUUGUUGUGAAAUCUCCCGGCUUAACUGGGAGGGUGCGGCGAAAACUGCGGGGCUUGAGUGUGGGAGAGGUAAGCGGAAUUCCUGGUGUAGCGGUGAAAUGCGUAGAUAUCAGGAGGAACACCGGCGGUGUAGACGGCUUACUGGACCAUGACUGACGCUGAGGCACGAAAGCGUGGGGAGCAAACAGGAUUAGAAACCCCCGUAGUCC